rnacentral:rRNA from 1 species
UGGAUCCAGACUUUGAUUAUGGCUCAGGAUGAACGCUGGCGGCGUGCCUAACACAUGCAAGUCGAACGAAGCUUGACGGAUGAUUUCUUCGGAAUGAAACCUGAUAUGACUUAGUGGCGGACGGGUGAGUAACACGUGAGCAACCCGCCUUUCAGAGGGGGAUAACGGCUGGAAACGGUCGCUAAUACCGCAUGAUGUGUUCGGAUGGCAUCAUCUGAACAUCAAAGAUUUAUCGCUGAAAGAUGGGCUCGCGUCUGAUUAGAUAGUUGGUGGGGUAACGGCCUACCAAGUCGACGAUCAGUAGCCGGACUGAGAGGUUGAACGGCCACAUUGGGACUGAGAUACGGCCCAGACUCCUACGGGAGGCAGCAGUGGGGAAUAUUGCACAAUGGGGGAAACCCUGAUGCAGCAACGCCGCGUGAAGGAUGACGGUUUUCGGAUUGUAAACUUCUUUUCUUAGUGACGAAGACAGUGACGGUAGCUAAGGAAUAAGCAUCGGCUAACUACGUGCCAGCAGCCGCGGUAAUACGUAGGAUGCAAGCGUUAUCCGGAUUUACUGGGUGUAAAGGGAGCGCAGGCGGGACUGCAAGUUGGAUGUGAAAUACCGUGGCUUAACCACGGAACUGCAUCCAAAACUGUAGUUCUUGAGUGAAGUAGAGGCAAGCGGAAUUCCGAGUGUAGCGGUGAAAUGCGUAGAUACUCGGAGGAACACCAGUGGCGAAGGCGGCUUGCUGGGCUUUAACUGACGCUGAGGCUCGAAAGUGUGGGGAGCAAACAGGAUUAGAUACCCUGGUAGUCCACACUGUAAACGAUGAUAGCUAGGUGUGGGGGGUCUGACCCCUUCCGUGCCGGAGUUAACGCAAUAAGCUAUCCACCUGGGGAGUACGACCGCAAGGUUGCAACUCAAAUGAAUUGACGGA